rnacentral:rRNA from 1 species
UACGUAGGGGGCGAGCGUUGUCCGGAAUUAUUGGGCGUAAAGGGCGCGUAGGCGGAGAGAUGUGUCGUGUGUGAAAACCACAGGCUUAACUUGUGAUUGCACAUGAAACUGUCUCCCUUGAGUGCAGGAGAGGAAAGCGGAAUUCCCAGUGUAGCGGUGAAAUGCGUAGAUAUUGGGAGGAACACCAGUGGCGAAGGCGGCUUUCUGGACUGUAACUGACGCUGAGGCGCGAAAGCGUGGGGAGCAAACA